GAGUUUGAUCGUGGCUCAGGACGAACGCUGGCGGCGCGCUUAACACAUGCAAGUCGAGCGAGAACCAGGCCUUCGGGCCGUGGGGACAGCGGCGAACGGGUGGAGUAACACGUGGGUAAUCAACCCUCGAUACUGGGAUAGCCCGGGGAAACCCGGAUUAAUACCGGAUGGCCCUUUGGAUCUUCGGAUCUGACGGAAAAGGUAGCUUCGGCCUCCGAUCGAGGACGAGCCCGCGGCGGAUUAGCUUGUUGGUGAGGUAACGGCUCACCAAGGCGACGAUCCGUAGCUGGUCUGAGAGGACGAUCAGCCACACUGGGACUGAGACACGGCCCAGACUCCUACGGGAGGCAGCAGUGGGGAAUCUUGCGCUAAUGCGGGAAACCGUGACGCAGCGACGCCGCGUGAGGGAAGAAGGCCUUCGGGUUGUAACCUACUUUCUAGGAGGGACGAAGCCACUCGGGUUAAUAGCCC
rnacentral:rRNA from 1 species